rnacentral:rRNA from 1 species
AGAGUUUGAUCAUGGCUCAGAUUGAACGCUGGCGGAAUGCUUUACACAUGCAAGUCGAGCGGCAGCACGGGGGCAACCCUGGUGGCGAGCGGCGAACGGGUGAGUAAUACAUCGGAACAUGCCCAGUCGUGGGGGAUAACACUUCGAAAGAAGUGCUAAUACCGCAUACGUCCUGAGGGAGAAAGCGGGGGAUCGCAAGACCUCGCGCGAUUGGAGUGGCCGAUGUCAGAUUAGCUAGUUGGUGGGGUAAAGGCCUACCAAGGCAACGAUCUGUAGCUGGUCUGAGAGGAUGAUCAGCCACACUGGGACUGAGACACGGCCCAGACUCCUACGGGAGGCAGCAGUGGGGAAUUUUGGACAAUGGGGGCAACCCUGAUCCAGCCAUUCCGCGUGAGUGAAGAAGGCCUUCGGGUUGUAAAGCUCUUUCGGCAGGAACGAAACGGUGAGCUCUAACAUAGCUUGCUAAUGACGGUACCUGAAGAAGAAGCACCGGCUAACUACGUGCCAGCAGCCGCGGUAAUACGUAGGGUGCGAGCGUUAAUCGGAAUUACUGGGCGUAAAGCGUGCGCAGGCGGUUGUGUAAGACAGGUGUGAAAUCCCCGGGCUUAACCUGGGAACUGCGCUUGUGACUGCACAGCUAGAGUAUGGCAGAGGGGGGUGGAAUUCCACGUGUAGCAGUGAAAUGCGUAGAGAUGUGGAGGAACACCGAUGGCGAAGGCAGCCCCCUGGGCCAAUACUGACGCUCAUGCACGAAAGC